UUUACCGUUAACGUGCACGUAUGUACAGUAUUCUAGUCCAGCUUCGCAUAACGUCGUACGGGAUGGUACAGCCUGAAAAUUUUCUGCCGGAAGAGAGCGUGUGCAACCCGCUCCAGUUGUCUGCAGAAACUGUAUAAAAAGUCGAACGUUACGUAAAUCCAGUUGGUGUGUUCAUAAUUUUGACUAAUUAUUUUUGUAAAAAAUAUCUCUUAUAGUGUGCGAAUAAAAUGUAACUCGAGUUAUGGUUUCGAGUACAGAACUGGGAACAUUCGGCAUAUUUCCGAUGAUUGCCGAAAAUGUACCGAGAUGUUGCACCCUCCAUGUCGUUCCUAGGCAACGUGGUUGCUAUAUAAAUCUAGCCAAUCAGAUCGCGAGGUCGAUUGUCCGCCAUUACCUCCGUCAAUUUGUCGGACCUCAGUUGAACACCGCGAGAAUACAUAUGUAAACAGAAAAUGGUAAAAACGUGCUCGUGGGGAACUGGCAACAGUUACGGCCGAUACCCUGAUAGAUUGGAGGGCGGUGUUGUAUAUUCUACAAUUCAUGGAACCUAAAACAUACAGCUUUGGAAGUUGUGUCAGCAGCAGCUGAAAUAAAGAGGCUAAAACAACAACUACAUAGAUAUGAGCUGCUGAAUUUGCACCAUGAACAACAAAAUACUACAUCUUUCUCAAGUGUUAUAUUGAUAGUGAUAUUAAUCAGAAAUAAAAUCGAUUGACAUCCUGAAUUGUAA